GACGAACGCUGGCGGCGUGCCUAAUACAUGCAAGUAGAACGCUGAAGGAGGAGCUUGCUUCUCUGGAUGAGUUGCGAACGGGUGAGUAACGCGUAGGUAACCUGCCUGGUAGCGGGGGGUAACUAUUGGAAACGAUAGCUAAUACCGCAUAAUAGUAGAUGUUGCAUGACAUUUGCUUAAAAGGUGCAAUUGCAUCACUACCAGAUGGACCUGCGUUGUAUUAGCUAGUUGGUGGGGUAACGGCUCACCAAGGCGACGAUACAUAGCCGACCUGAGAGGGUGAUCGGCCACACUGGGACUGAGACACGGCCCAGACUCCUACGGGAGGCAGCAGUAGGGAAUCUUCGGCAAUGGACGGAAGUCUGACCGAGCAACGCCGCGUGAGUGAAGAAGGUUUUCGGAUCGUAAAGCUCUGUUGUAAGAGAAGAACGAGUGUGAGAGUGGAAAGUUCACACUGUGACGGUAUCUUACCAGAAAGGGACGGCUAACUACGUG
rnacentral:rRNA from 1 species